rnacentral:lncRNA from 1 species
GGCUCUUAGUGACCUUCAGAUAAGCAUUCCCACCCACCCAUCUUUCAGAUGAGGCGGGGUGGCGUGAGUUACAGCGAAAGAGUGGCUGAACCAGGAUUCUGGACUCUAACGCCUGCCCGCUAUAGUGACCACUGCAUCUGUUUUUUAAGGAUAAACUCAGCCCCACAUAGAAGUGGCUGGCCCCAAGAAGCAAAGCAAGUCACCUGCAAGCCAGGAAGCAAGAGAUAAGACUCCAGGCUCCCAAGCGAUGGCGAUGGCCAUGACAUUUCCCUUCUCGGCCCCUCCCCAUCCCCCCAAAACAAAACACAGAAGAGGAGGUUCUGGUCUUUAUUAGCAAGCCCGGCCUGCAGCUCCCCUCCCCCCAGCCCAACCAGGCAGACAGAAAGUCGGGGUCUCUGUGUGGGGCAGGAAGAGGUACCAGUGGUUCUACUCAAAACGUGUGCACCAGCUGGACUGUGGGCAGAGUCUGGACAAUCUGGAUGGAGGGCAGGCUCUGUGGGGUCAUGCCCCCAGGCGCAGUUCCUGCAGGGACCACUUGUACCAUCUGGGAAGUGGGAGCCGCAGGGAUGCCCGCGGGGAGCGAGGCUGGGCCAGGUGGCGGUGGGGCCAGCAGCUGCAGCGUGGCGGCGCCUCCCCCAACGCUGCUGUUUUCCAGCAGCUCGGUGGCCGGGGCACUGCGGAUGAUGAGCAGUUUCUGUCCCGAGGGGCCGGGGGCAGGCGGCUCAGCCAGCCCCGGGGAGAGGGUCUCUACCUCCUGCACACACAGCUGGGUCUGCUCCCCAUCGGCCCCGCUCAGCACCAGGACGCUCUGCAAUCCCUCGUCAGUCUGCAGCGUCUCAAAGAGCACAUCCUGGACCACACCAGCGCUGGCCUCGCCGUCACCCGGCUCCCCAGGGCUGGGGCCCGCCAGUAAUUCCUCUGCUGCUCCACUCUGAACCACCAGCAGGUUGGGGGCCUCAGUGGUCACUGUUCCUGCACUAGGAUUGGACAGCUGGCCCGCCACAGACUGGAGUUGGACCGUGGUCACUUCCUGUGCCGGCUGCAGCUGGACCGUGGUCACCUCCUGUGCCUGCUGGAGCUGGACCGUGGUCACCUCCUGUGCCUGCUGGAGCUGGACCGUGGUUACUUCCGGGGCUGGCCGGAGGGGCUGGAGCUGGACCCCACUCAUUUCCUGUGGCCCCGCCUCCCCACUCCCUACAUUCUGCAGAACGAUGAGGCUCUGUCCUCCCCCGCUGGCCCCGGCGUUGCCCCCUCCCUGCACCCCCAGCCCCCCAGGGCCGGGCAGCCAAACUACUCCAGCCCCCUGACCAGCUUUCCCCACAGCGCGGGGGCCCUGCCUUGCACGGCCGCCCCCACCACCAGUACUGGAGGAGGGCAGCAGGAUGAGCUUGGGGGGUGCGGGUGGGGGCGGGGGCGUAGGAGGCUGCACGCUGCUGGGGAUGAGUUGGAGACCCUGGGCAGUCUGCACCAAGAGAAAUGUCUGGGAGUUGGGGGCUGCCGGGCCUGCAGGCGGGGCCUGGGCCGGGCCCCCUGCCACCUCUAGGGAGAGCGUGGCCUGGAGGUGGGGGAGCACGUGGACAUCUUGAGUGGCAGAGGGGGCUGGAGCUGCAGCCAGGGGGGCGGAGGGCUGGGGGCCGGCGGCAGGGGCCGCAGGGCUGGCAGCCGCACUGGCCGGGGCAUGCGUCCUCAGGUGGCGCUGCAAGUAGGCGGCCAUGACGAAGCUGCGGCCGCAGAUGGGGCAGGCGAAGGGACGCUCGGCCGAGUGCGUGCGCUGGUGCAGCAGCAGGUUGGAGGAGUGCGUGAAGGUCUUGGGGCAGAGCGGGCAGCGGAAGGGCCGCUCGCCCGUGUGCACGCGCUGGUGCUGCCGCAGGUUGGAGGUCUGGGCGAAGCUCUUGCCGCACACGCCACAGGCGUGCGGCCGCUCGCCCGUGUGUACGUGCCGGUGGCGCCGCAGGCACGAUGUGUUGCGGAAGGCCUUGCCGCACUCCCCGCAGGUGGUACUGGUAGUGCGACGACCACUUGAAGGUGAGGCCGCACUGGCCGCAGGUGAAGGCGCGCAGGCCCGUGUGCACGCGCUGGUGGAUGGCGAGCAGCGACGAGCGCUUGAAUGCCUUCCCGCACUCCCCGCACUGGUACGGCCGCUCGCCCGUGUGGUCCCGCAGGUGGUAGCGCAGCCCCGACGAGCCCUUGAAGGCCUUGCCGCACUCGGCGCACUUGUACGGCCGCUCGGCGGCUGCGGCUGCGGCCGCGGGCGCGGGCGGCGGGGGCGCGGCGGCGGCGGGGGCCAGCGGCUCCUGGGGGCAGGUGACCUCGGCAGCCUCGGCCUGAGGGGGCGGUCGCCCGGCCGCCGCCUCCUCCACGUGGCACUGCUGGUGCGCCAGGAGGCUGGCGAGCUGCGGGAAGGCGCCAUCGCAGCUGCCGCAGCGGAACGCCUGGCCGCCGGCCGCGCCGUGGCUGUGCUGGUGGCGCGAGAGGCCGGCCACCGUUCGGAAGGACUUCCCGCAGGGCAGGCAGGCGAAGCCAGGGGCGCGGCGGCGGCGGCGGCGGCGGCGGCAGGGCGGCGGGCGGGGACAGCGAGGGCAACCGGCGGAGGGUCGGCCUUAGGCGCGUCCGGAGGCCCGACCUGGGCCGCCGGCGCCGCCUCGGGCCCGGGGCACGGCUGGUGCUCCAGGAGCAGCUCCUCGCUGCCGAAGCCCAGCUCGCAGCCGUCGCAGCGGUACACCAGCUCCACCGUGGUCUCGGCGGCGGCCAGGAAGAGCUCGGGCACCACGGGCGGCGGCGGCGGGCGGCGGCGGCGCGGGCGGGCUGGCGGCGGCAGGGGCCG